AUACAACAAUUUAUUUUUUGUGGAGUAAGAGUUAUCUUCUAUGAAAGAAAUUCUGUCUUCCGUCUCUGAAAUACAGUCAUUUUGAGAGGGCGGUGCAACUGGACCCCAAUUCUACUUUGGAAAAGACAGUCCAUCAACUUUUUGCCUGCCUUGCCUGAAGCAGAGACCUAGGACAAGAUACAGUACAUAAGGAACACAAAGAAGAAGUCAUUGUGCCCUGGGAAUGUUGCUGGCAUGCAAUGGUAUCUUCCUUUUUCUGGUUCCAGUUGCAUCUACAGGACAUACAGUCUGACACCAGUGUGCAACAGGUGAUUGGUGAGUGUUGUUUUUGAUGCAGAAUGUCUUCGCUAGAAUAACAUAAGCAUUUCACCAGUCCUCGAGUUCAUCAGUUAAGGAGGUAAUUAACCUUCAUGAAACACAUUGUUGUCAAAUAGUAAUCCACUAAUAACUGUAGUCUUUUUAUUUCUUAUUUCUGUUUUUCUAAAAUGUUUUGUAUUAAAAAUGUAUUUAUUUUGCACCCCCCCACUGACAUUUUAAAGAAUAACAAUAGCUUAUGUAUCUUUUCCCCAAAUGUAAUAAAAGGCACUAAGUUUGCCCAGGGGCAGUAGCGCAUAGCAACCAGUAAGUUGUUU